UAACAGUAUAGUUAAUUUUAACAUUGGUGUUGCAAACCAAAGAUGCUAGUUUACUAGUUAUUGUUAU
rnacentral:tRNA from 1 species